rnacentral:rRNA from 1 species
GAAAGGCCAAUCAAACCGGGAGAUAGCUGGUUCUCCCCGAAAGCUAUUUAGGUAGCGCCUCGUGAACUCAUCUCGGGGGGUAGAGCACUGUUUCGGCAAGGGGGUCAUCCCGACUUACCAACCCGAUGCAAACUGCGAAUACCGGAGAAUGUUAUCACGGGAGACACACGGCGGGUGCUAACGUCCGUCGUGAAGAGGGAAACAACCCAGACCGCCAGCUAAGGUCCCAAAGUCAUGGUUAAGUGGGAAACGAUGUGGGAAGGCCCAGACAGCCAGGAUGUUGGCUUAGAAGCAGCCAUCAUUUAAAGAAAGCGUAAUAGCUCACUGGUCGAGUCGGCCUGCGCGGAAGAUGUAACGGGGCUAAACCAUGCACCGAAGCUGCGGCAGCGACACUAUGUGUUGUUGGGUAGGGGAGCGUUCUGUAAGCCUGUGAAGGUGUACUGUGAGGUAUGCUGGAGGUAUCAGAAGUGCGAAUGCUGACAUAAGUAACGAUAAAGCGGGGGAAAAGCCCGCUCGCCGGAAGACCAAGGGUUCCUGUCCAACGUUAAUCGGGGCAGGGUGAGUCGACCCCUAAGGCGAGGCCGAAAGGCGUAGUCGAUGGGAAACAGGUUAAUAUUCCUGUACUUGGUGUUACUGCGAAGGGGGGACGGAGAAGGCUAUGUUGGCCGGGCGACGGUUGUCCCGGUUUAAGCGUGUAGGCUGGUUUUCCAGGCAAAUCCGGAAAAUC